rnacentral:rRNA from 1 species
AAAUUGAAGAGUUUGAUCAUGGCUCAGAUUGAACGCUGGCGGCAGGCCUAACACAUGCAAGUCGAACGGUAACAGGAAGCAGCUUGCUGCUUUGCUGACGAGUGGCGGACGGGUGAGUAAUGUCUGGGAAACUGCCCGAUGGAGGGGGAUAACUACUGGAAACGGUGGCUAAUACCGCAUAACGUCGCAAGACCAAAGAGGGGGACCUUCGGGCCUCUUGCCAUCAGAUGUGCCCAGAUGGGAUUAGCUUGUUGGUGAGGUAACGGCUCACCAAGGCGACGAUCCCUAGCUGGUCUGAGAGGAUGACCAGCCACACUGGAACUGAGACACGGUCCAGACUCCUACGGGAGGCAGCAGUGGGGAAUAUUGCACAAUGGGCGCAAGCCUGAUGCAGCCAUGCCGCGUGUAUGAAGAAGGCCUUCGGGUUGUAAAGUACUUUCAGCGGGGAGGAAGGUGUUGUGGUUAAUAACCGCAGCAAUUGACGUUACCCGCAGAAGAAGCACCGGCUAACUCCGUGCCAGCAGCCGCGGUAAUACGGAGGGUGCAAGCGUUAAUCGGAAUUACUGGGCGUAAAGCGCACGCAGGCGGUCUGUCAAGUCGGAUGUGAAAUCCCCGGGCUCAACCUGGGAACUGCAUUCGAAACUGGCAGGCUUGAGUCUUGUAGAGGGGGGUAGAAUUCCAGGUGUAGCGGUGAAAUGCGUAGAGAUCUGGAGGAAUACCGGUGGCGAAGGCGGCCCCCUGGACAAAGACUGACGCUCAGGUGCGAAAGCGUGGGGAGCAAACAGGAUUAGAUACCCUGGUAGUCCACGCCGUAAACGAUGUCUACUUGGAGGUUGUGCCCUUGAGGCGUGGCUUCCGGAGCUAACGCGUUAAGUAGACCGCCUGGGGAGUACGGCCGCAAGGUUAAAACUCAAAUGAAUUGACGGGGGCCCGCACAAGCGGUGGAGCAUGUGGUUUAAUUCGAUGCAACGCGAAGAACCUUACCUGGUCUUGACAUCCACAGAACUUUCCAGAGAUGGAUUGGUGCCUUCGGGAACUGUGAGACAGGUGCUGCAUGGCUGUCGUCAGCUCGUGUUGUGAAAUGUUGGGUUAAGUCCCGCAACGAGCGCAACCCUUAUCCUUUGUUGCCAGCGAUUAGGUCGGGAACUCAAAGGAGACUGCCAGUGAUAAACUGGAGGAAGGUGGGGAUGACGUCAAGUCAUCAUGGCCCUUACGACCAGGGCUACACACGUGCUACAAUGGCGCAUACAAAGAGAAGCGACCUCGCGAGAGCAAGCGGACCUCAUAAAGUGCGUCGUAGUCCGGAUUGGAGUCUGCAACUCGACUCCAUGAAGUCGGAAUCGCUAGUAAUCGUGGAUCAGAAUGCCACGGUGAAUACGUUCCCGGGCCUUGUACACACCGCCCGUCACACCAUGGGAGUGGGUUGCAAAAGAAGUAGGUAGCUUAACCUUCGGGAGGGCGCUUACCACUUUGUGAUUCAUGACUGGGGUGAAGUCGUAACAAGGUAACCGUAGGGGAACCUGCGGUUGGA